rnacentral:lncRNA from 1 species
UGCUUUAGAAGAAAAUGUUUUGUUUUCAAUAACCAGGAUAUGGAGGACACUCAUGAAAGACAAGAUUGCAAAAUCAACAAUUAAAAAGCCAGUGCUCAAUGCAAGAAAACGUAUAUGUAUGCUGAAAACUGAUGCGAGAUCUGCAAGGUCUCAUUUAAUUAAUCCCUCUACAGAACACCAUCCUGUGUAAACUGACAUUACGAGUGGAAUGCAUCCCUCUUCCCACCCCACACAGGAGCAAAGCCUGC